UACGUAGGGUGCAGGCGUUAAUCGGAAUUACUGGGCGUAAAGCGUGCGCAGGCGGUUUUGUAAGUCAGAUGUGAAAUCCCCGGGCUUAACCUGGGAACUGCGUUUGAAACUACAAGGCUAGAGUGUGGCAGAGGGGGGGUGGAAUUCCACGUGUAGCAGUGAAAUGCGUAGAGAUGUGGAGGAACACCGAUGGCGAAGGCAGCCCCCUGGGUUAACACUGACGCUCAGGCACGAAAGCGUGGGGAGCAAACAGG
rnacentral:rRNA from 1 species